UAGUGAUCUGUAAGUGAUGGAGAAGGGAGCCGGCUGUGAUAGAAGAAAGAUAACACCUGCUAGCCGAGUUAAGUAAGCUUGUGAAAGGCUUUCUGGGAUUAGUGACCUUAGAGUUGAGGCCUGACGGGUGGGGAACAAUUCAAUUUCUAUCCUAUUCUCAUGCUGAGAGGCUCAGAGGAAGAGAUACUAUGUUGCAGAGGGAACCGAAAUUAGUUCUGUCUGUGUGCAGUUUAGAGUCCUACUUGGAAACCGGUAUAAUCGAGAGCCAUUGUUGUCUUAAACCAGAGGCGUGGCAUAUUCAGAUCUGCAUUUUAUAAGGAUCUCCAGCUGUAGUGACACUGGAAGGCAGCCUACAGUUUGAUGAUUAAACACCUGGCAUGAGUCAGGACGAAGGCAGGAAGCAGUCCAGUACUCCAGUAUUUACAAGAGGAAGGCUCUAUGAAAGGAUUCUGAACUGUGCCAAGCCCAGGCAGAGAGGCUGGGAGAAACAGCCCCGCCACCCCUCGCCUCCUCUGUUCUGAUCUCCUGCAGGUGCUUCCCAUGAUCCCAAGCCAGCCCACACUGAGAGUAAAGGAGCCUGAGAAAUGUGGUUUAGACGUGUCAGACAUGUGGGGCAUACAGGGGUGAGAACAGAGCCAAGCAAAAGGCCAGAAAGCUGUGAGCUCACAAUUGAUCCAGCCAGCAUUUCCUACUGGAAUCCAAUACAAGCAGUGGGAGAACUAUCCAUAGGAACUGCCUACACACAGGAAGCGUCAUCAUGAUCAUGCCAAUGACCCAGGUAAACCUCCAAGUUUCAGUGGC
rnacentral:lncRNA from 1 species